ensembl:lncRNA
AGCAAAUAUGAAAGCAGUGGCGUUCUUGAUGUGUUUGCUGGGCUCUUCACUUGCUGCCCCUGCCCCUGACAGUAGCAGUAAUGAGCAGCAGGCUGGUCAUGCUAACACAGCUCUGCAGUUGAUGGAACUCUACAGAAUGUUAGGACAUCUGCAGCAACAGGCAGCACCUGCAGCGCCUGCAGCACCUGCACCUGUUGAUGCCCAGCCUCAAGUUUCACCUCAAGCACCACAGCAGGGCUUUUUUUUCAACCCCGCUCUUUUCGCACCCACAGGAGAUGGAUCAGAUGAGGAAGGAACUCCACAGUUUCGUGGGUUUUACCCUCCCUACGGCUACCAGCCUGCCCAGCCGGCUGCUCCGUUGAACUCAGAUGAGGCCGAAGGGGCAGAAGAAGCAGAGGGUGCAGAAGCAGCAGAAGCAGCUGAGGCUGGAGCCGAACCUGAACCUGCUGGAACCGCUGCAACUGUUGAUGCUACUGCCGUAAACGAGAUCGCACCUGUGGAUGUUGCUGUAGAGGUUCCUGUUGAACCUGUCAUUGCUGCUGUUGUUCCGUCUCUCAUCCCUGAGGUACCAGCAGUCGCUAUGGAAAUCGACACCAAUUUGGUGGGGCCUGAUGCUACUGCUGGUGCAGAACAGGUGUUGGUGGCUGAUGCUCCUGAUGCUGCUCUGCCAGUGCAGUGAGAGAGAUGAUCACAAGCCCCGCCUCCAAGAUCCUAACCAAUCAGUCACAUCGCCGACUUUAAGACCACACCUCUAUGGUCUGAACAUUGUAGCACAGGGACUUGGCUAGACAGAGGGCGUGUCUAACUGGCUUGCUGGAACAAACUGUGGCACAUUCCUGUUGUGCUGUUUGUGAAAAUGUUUCCUAGCAGAUGACAAUUUUUAUUAACCUCACUGUAAGAAUUGAGCCGAUACUGCUGCAGACAGCGUUAAUUGUUAUAUGUCUUCUCUUUCAGUUUCUUAGUUAAAGGCCUCUUUAAUCAACUGAAAUGUAACACUUUGGAAAUAAUAAAAAUGGACAAAACAUAGUUUUGUGUGAAGAA